ACGCAGUAUUCAAGAUGUGGGAGUACCAUGGAUUUAUAUAAGGGCAAUAAGAUAUUCUCCAUCUUAUUCUCUAUUCCCUUUUUAAUGAGUCCUAACAUCCUGUUUUGCUUUUUUGACCGUCGCUGCACACUGCUUGGACCUCUUCAGAGAACUAUCCACGAUGACUCCAAGAUCUCUUUCCUGAUUAGUUGUAGAUAAAUUAGCCCCCAUCACUAGCCUACUUCUGUCACUAGCCUUAACACUAAUGCUUUAGUGGUCUCAGAGGAAUGAGCGUCAGAAGUUUCAGUGAGGUUAGCCACUGACAGAGGAUUUCACAAUGUAAACAUCUAUUAAAAGUGCUCCCCUGCUUUGUUAGUAAGCUCAUGAGAGACCAAGGACUGAAAGGGUUUUAAGAACAAACCUCCUUCCCCCCAGCCCCAUCUUAUUCUCCCCGGGUUAUGCUCUCAAAGGAAUGAGGAAUGCUGGUAGGAUGCUGUUUGGAGCUUGCUCUGCUACUGUCCCGUUGUAUCUGAUACGUGGAACUGAAAGGACUUUGUGCUCCACAAGAGUCAGUCUUUUCACAGGCAGUAACACUUCUAAAUAAAGAAAAAGAGAAGUUGAAUAACAUCUUUUGAAUCUGAUGUCCUGGAGGUUGUUUUUCUUGCAGAGUGUAAGAGGUUUGUUUGGUCAGUUUGUGGCAUGAAAGGAAGUGAUGACCUUGUGUUUCAAGCUCUGCCUUGAUAAUGUCUUGAACUCUUCCAGCUUGUCAGCUGUGCAUUCCAGGACCCCAGUGAGCGUUACAAUGUGACUAGCAUGGGGGGGGGGGGGAAGAGAAAAAUAGCCUGUCCUGAGACAAGGACUUGAUCUAUAUCUUAAAAUAGAGCCAAAGAACAAAAAGUCCUAUUUCCAUCAAAGCUGGCCUGACCAGGAGGUAACAGCAGCACACUGCUUUGCUCACUGGGGUUUAGAAACUUGGAAUGCUCCCAGCUGAGAAGAGCUUAACAGUUGGCACAAGUGAGAUACUUACGUUGGCAGCUGAUUCAAGAACUUUAUGCUGCCUGUAUCAACCCAAGGCCCUCUUCCCAUUUUGGCUUGAGGUACGGUACAUUGCCGUGCUGACUGUGACAUUGCCAUCUUUUCAUUGUAACUAUUUAAUUUACAUGAUUAUUUUUCCCUCAUGUUCAGCAUAUAAUGUAGGUAGUUUCCCUUGAGACACUCGAUUGGCUGAGGAGGUGAAGCUGGUAACUCAGGAGCAAGAUGGAGCCCAGCAAUGUUCCUGUAAACUUCAGCACUGUGCUAUCAGAGCAAGGAAAAGCUCUGUAAACAUAUCUCCUCCUUGUGCUCUUGUGUGUAAGCUGCAAUCAGUGUCGUUCCAGCUGGAGAUUUGAUGGGCGUUGCAAACUUUGAUCAGAAAACCGGUAAAAUGGAGCCGCCCUUUAAAUAUGGCUCAGGAAUAGCUCUUUGGAUAGCUGAUAUUAUUGAGAGGAAAUAGCGACAAGAGUCCAUGCUAUCAAGACAUCCGAGUAGCCCUAGACUAGAUGCAUCCGAACAAGUUACUUCACCAGCAUCUUCCCUCCAGCUAGAAGCAACAUUAGGCUUCUGCAUCUGAAACCAGGUGAAAGCAUGGAACCUACAUUAUCCAUACCCUUCUGGAGCAGCUCAGAGUUCUUUGGUGCCUUGAUUUAAUUGAUCAGUUACCUUCAGCAAAGUAUACAGCAUAUGCCAUUUUACAGCAAGUCACCACUGGGAUGGUGAAAUGGAAGAGAAAUACUCACUUUAGUCGAUGAACGUUGGAAGGCAUUGGAGAAAAACACCACAGUUAGGACUGUUAAUGACUUACACAUUGUUGAUACAGGACUGAAUUUGAAAACAUGCUCUAACAUUUAUCAUAAUAUAAUGAAGGUGGUUAGUGCCACAUUAAAAUAAAAAUAGUUCUAUACAAUAUGUUCAUUUGGUCAUGUGCUAUUUACAGAUUUUACAAAAACACACACGAGCUUGUUAUUUCUCUAAGUCAAGCUAGAACAAGGCCAGCAGAGUAACUCAAAAUGUGUAACUGAUCAGUGCCCCAACUAAAAGUGUAAGAAAUCCAAUUUCUAACUAUGCAGUGCAAGUUAUUUUUUCCAGGUCACAUUACAAAAGCCCUGAUCUAAGACUGAAAAACAUCUGACACACGUAAAUAAGGUAUUAAAAACGGAACUUAAGCCAUCUUUUAGAGUUAAAAAAAAGAAAUAGAAUUUUCUUUGUCCAUUUAAAAGUUUAAGCUAGACUGAAGUAGUGCCCUCUCUCCCUCCCCCCCAGUAAAGUGGGCAACACUGGCAAAACAAGGUUUGUUAUAAUAAAAUACAUUAGACAUUUAAAUAAAUAACCUUAAAAUACUACGUGUGUUGAAGGGAUGACAGAAGAACCCAGCAGGUUCCACCUGGAAUUAUGUUUUCUGCACAAGCAUGACUAGGCAUACUCUACCUCUUACAAAGACUAGGGUAAACAAGACAGUCAGGAACCUAAGAUGAGGGGGCAUAAGGAGGGACAAAAACAAAACAAAA